rnacentral:rRNA from 1 species
AGUGAACGCUGGCGGUAGGCCUAACACAUGCAAGUCGAACGGCAGCACAGUAAGAGCUUGCUCUUAUGGGUGGCGAGUGGCGGUCGGGUGAGGAAUACAUCGGAAUCUACUUUUUCGUGGGGGAUAACGUAGGGAAACUUACGCUAAUACCGCAUACGACCUACGGGUGAAAGCAGGGGAUCUUCGGACCUUGCGCGAUUGAAUGAGCCGAUGUCGGAUUAGCUAGUUGGCGGGGUAAAGGCCCACCAAGGCGACGAUCCGUAGCUGGUCUGAGAGGAUGAUCAGCCACACUGGAACUGAGACACGGUCCAGACUCCUACGGGAGGCAGCAGUGGGGAAUAUUGGACAAUGGGCGCAAGCCUGAUCCAGCCAUACCGCGUGGGUGAAGAAGGCCUUCGGGUUGUAAAGCCCUUUUGUUGGGAAAGAAAAGCAGCAGGUUAAUACCCCGCUGUUCUGACGGUACCCAAAGAAUAAGCACCGGCUAACUUCGUG